CCUACGGGAGGCAGCAGCAACGAAUCUUCCGCAAUGCGCGAAAGCGUGACGGAGCGAUGCCGCGUGCAGGAUGAAGCCCUUAGGGGUGUAAACUGCUGUCAGAGUCCAGCAACACAAUGAGCAGACUCAAAGGAAGGGCCGGCUAACUUCGUGCCAGCAGCCGCGGUAAUACGAAGGGCCCGAGCGUUGCGCGGAAUCACUGGGCUUAAAGCGUACGUAGGCGGACAUGCAGGCAUUUUGUGAAAGCCCUCGGCUCAACCGAGGAACUGCAGGGUGAACCGCAUGUCUUGAGGUGAGUAGGGGCUGUCGGAACGAUAGGUGGAGCGGUGAAAUGCGUUGAUAUCUAUCGGAACGCCAAAGGCGAAGGCAGACAGCUGGGCUUAUUCUGACGCUGAGGUACGAAAGCGUGGGGAGCGAACGGGAUUAGAUACCCCGGUAGUCCACGCCGUAAACGAUGUGCACUAGAUCGAGGGGGUUCUGACGCCAUUCUCGGUCGAAGCAAAAGUGUUAAGUGCACCGCCUGGGGAGUACGGUCGCAAGGCUAAAACUCAAAGGAAUUGACGGG
rnacentral:rRNA from 1 species